ensembl:lncRNA LINC02401 long intergenic non-protein coding RNA 2401
GACUGGGAUUUUUUUAAAGCUCUCUUCCCUUCCCCACCUUGAGUGUACAAUGGAGAGUGCUAGUGUGGUGUCACAUGGUGCAACAUGGCUCAGUGUUGUGUGAAACUAAGAGUCCCUGGUUUCUAGUACGGUGCCUGACAGAUAGAUGACUUUCUUUAUAUGUUGCUGAAGACAGGCAGAGAGGAAGAAAGGAAGAGAGGAUAAAGGGAGGAAUAAACUUGAUAUAAGCAUCUUUGCAUAAUUAACAACUGGGUCAAAUUUUCUUCAUUUCAUUGAGAUUCUUGAUACAAGCCUCUGCUGAUGAAUUGGAUUCCAAAAAGCAGAUAUUGUUGUCCAGGCCACACCAUACGGGACUUACCACUCCCAGUUGCUAACAUCUGCACGUAUUUGCCUGGAGGUCUCCUCUGGUCACCAGAUCCUACUCUGCCUGGGCCACAUGACAAGGUGAUGUGCUGAGGAACAAAAGCCCCCAGGAGUAUCCCUCAAGCAGUGUUGGACUGGAGUUGAGCAGGUCAUGAUCCACAUGAAAAACUGAGGGAAGACAUCCAGGACCUGCUGGAGAGCACAUGGAAAAAAGUUGGGACACAGAAAAGGAAAGCAGCAAGAGUCGGGCAGAGAUUGAUCCCCAAGGAACUUGGAAUACCAUGGGAAAGAUUUGCAAACUCUCUUUUCCCAUUGAUUGGGUGAAGGGAGGAAGUGUCCCUUAAAUCCUGAGGGCUAUCGAGUAGCCUGAGCAUGGAGCCAACCUGGAAGAAGCAGAGCUGAGACACAGAUACUGAGGACAUCAUUCAAAGCCUGAGUCAAACCGUGCCUGAAGCCAGACCUAUCUCUGAAUUUUUCAUUUGUGUGAAUCAAUAAAUUCCCUUUUGGUUUAUGCCAGUGA